CACCGGGAAUAGCCGCGGCCCAGACAGUGUAAGGGCAUUGGUUUCGGAUUUCGAAAGUAGCUGCGUUGCUUAAGGUGAAGAAAUGGGCAAAAAGAAGGAAGCAGGGAAGCAAUGAGAAGUAAGAAAAAGGACUCAAACUGAAGAAAAAUGGAUUGAGAAUGCUGGUAUGUUGUGAUUAUUUGAGAGGGCUUAGGACAGCUUUUAUAGGAGAAGUGUCACAGUUUGCUAGUGCGGUUGGAUCAAGAGCAAUGCAAAAAAAAUAAAAAUAAUAAUAAUAAUAAUUAAAGGAUAUCUACCAAGAAAGAAAAACCAAACUGUUAUGGAAAGCAGGAAAAAACAAACUCUCAAGUCAAAGCUUUCAACAUUUGCAUUGGUCUAAAAGACAGUGGGAUGAGAUUGAAACUAGUGUUUGGCCAUGUCCCUCUAUAAAUAACGUAUAAUAGAUCCCUCUAAAAAAAACAAAUAUUUGAAAGAGAGUUUGUUAUUUCACUGAUAGUGUUUUAUAAAGUAUUUUAUUUUAUUUGAAAAUAUAUUUAAAUAAUAAUUUUUUAUUUUUAAAAAUUUAUUUUUAACAACAUCACAUCAAAAUAAUCCAAAAAUAUAAAAUAUUAAUUUUAUAUAUAAAAAAAAAUUUAGAAAUGCGCCACUGUUCCAAGCAAGCUCCGAGUAUAUUUUAUACCCUUCAAGAAACUCCGUAGCUGUAACUUGUAAGAGAGGGAGAGAGAGUACAAGAAAAAAUUAUAAAUCUUUAUUUUUUAAAUUGUAUUUUUAGAUAUUUUAUAAUUCUAAGUCAUGUUGUUACUUUUAAAUAAAAAUGUUUAUUAAUUUGAAAUAUAGAUUUUGAAAAGAAAAAAAUAAUUAAAAAUAAAAAAAAUAAAUGAUGGAGAAGAAAGAUGAACAUACAUAUUCGCAUGGUCCAUGAUUCGCCUGGGUGGAGUCUUUGGCCACCACCGGGAACAGCCGCGGCCCAAACAGUGUAAGCGCAUAGGUUUCGGAAUUCGAAAGUAGCUGCGUUGCUUAAGGUGAAGAAAUAGGCAAAAAGAAGGAAGCAGGGAAACAAUGCUAAGUAAGAAAAAGGACUCAUAGUGAAGAAAUAUGGAUUGAGAAUGCUGGUGUGUUGUGAUUAUUUGUGAGGGCUUAGGACAGCUUUUAUAGGAGAAGUGUCACAGUUUGCUAGUGCCGUUGGAUCAAGAGCAAUGCAGAG
rnacentral:lncRNA from 1 species